GCCUGGCCCCUCCUGCUGUGAGGUCAUAGCUCUGGUUUUGUGACACAGCUGUCUGUUGCCAUGCGAGUGUUUGUGCUUCACAAAGUCAGCGUGCGAUGACUUCACAGCAAGGUCAUGGAGGAGCAGAUGGGCUUUGAAGGAGG
rnacentral:lncRNA from 1 species